rnacentral:lncRNA from 1 species
ACAAAUCCCUAUUUCCCGCGCACUGCCUCCACUGCGAUUGCUGGCUAUCACCAUCUUAAUCUGCGUCGGCUGUGUUGUCACCGCCGCGACGGAACCUACGAUUACCACUGCGACCUGCGGCGGCGGAUCUGCGAGACCACUGCAAUCCGUUGCGCAGAAACUUUUCCUGCUCGUGACUGACUCAAAGGCGCCAAAAAAACUGUUUGAAGGUAAACACUGUGUUUGUUCUUAUUUGAAUUUGUAUGAAUGUUUCUGGUUGUUAUCAUUGGGAAAUCCUACAUUCGAAUUUUGAAAAAUAUGAAAAAAAAUUGAAUUAUUCUGAGUUUGUGAUCUUUAUAUUUUGAGUUCUGAGUUUGAUAUAAUUAGAUUGUUUUGAACAUCUACAACUAUAUUUUGGCUUGGAUUGUUUAUGCUUAUUUUCCAAGUAUAAACUCUUAUAUGUUUACGUUAGCUUGUGAUCUAUUUCAUACAACCAAAAUCUCUGUAGCACCAACACCUUUGGAAAAAGGUGUGGCCGUGUCUGAAACCAAUAUCAAGACUUGUGAUUAUAUUUAAUUGAUUUAUUUUUUCAAAUUAUUAUCGGUGUCGACGUGCAACGUCGGUGUCGUGUUUUUGGGUGUCUGUGCUUCAUAGACCAAAAUUGAUAACUUAUUGAUAACUUAUGUGCUAGUGAUAAAAGAAAUCACUAAUGAUAAUUUUGAAGAAGAUUUGAUGUAAACAUUGUGAAGGAUACGUGUUUACAGAAUAAUAGGGAGAAUAUCUCUUAUUGAAUUGAACAAAAGAAAUGGCUCUUAAAUAGCCUUACAGAAACUGAAUCAGAGAAAAAAUAACCCACUCUAACAAACACUGAAAAAUGUGGGAUAGUGGCAAGAGAAUAGUAAAAGCAACAAUCCACUAACAGCACUAACAUUGCUAUUCUAACUGACAGUAAAUUAACGUUAAAUAAAAAACAAUUUUAACAUCCUCCUUAAACUGAAUGUUACUUAACAAUCAGUUUACUAUUGGCAGUUGACACACUCCCAAUAGGUUGCGCAAUUUCACAAAAGCAUCAAGUUUCAAAGGCUUUGUCAUCACAUCGGCCACUUGUUCUUGAGUAUUGCAGUGAACUAGUUCUAUAGUUUCAUCCUUAACGAGUUCACGAAGAAAAUGGAAUCGAACAUCGAUAUGUUUGCUACGACCGUGCAUUACAGGAUUCUUAGCAAGCUUGAUUGCUGAGUUGCUGUCGCAAUAAACAGUUGUUGAGCUGUUUGAGUAGUCCAAGCUUCUCCAAAAUCUUUCUCAACCAAACAGCCUGACAAGCACAAGUAGAUGCAGCUAUAAAUUCAGCUUCUGUAGUAGACAAAGAUACUACAGGCUGUUUUUUAGAUAACCAGGAUAUUGUAGCAGAGCUCAAUAGAAACACAUAUCCCGACGUGCUUUUUCUAUCAUCCAAGUCACCAGCAUAGUCACUAUCCGUGUACGCGACAGCUCUUCAUUUCCGCCCUUCUUGUAAACACACCAUAAUCAGCUGUCCCUCUUAAAUAUCUUAAAUUUUCGUUGCUGCUUGCAAAUGUAGUUUAGUAGGAUGCUCCAUGUACCUGCUUAUGAGACUAACAGCAAACAUAACAUUCGUCGAGUUGCCGUUAAGUACAUAAGAUUUCCUACAAUCUGCUUGUAGUAAGUACUAUCAAUCUUCAUGCCAUCUUGAUCUUUUGAAGUUUCUCUCCAGGAACCAUUGGAUUAAGAACAGAAUUACUUUUGUCCAUUCCAAAUCUUUCCAAUACUUCCAUCACAUAUUUUUUUGACUAAUGAAUAUGCCAUCACUCUUUUGCAUUACUUCAACACCUAAAAAAUACCUCAUUUUUCCCAAAUCGGUCAUAUCAAACUCAACCAUCAUGGAUUUUUUGAAUUCAACAUACAUUGACUCAUCAUUGCCAGUGAAUAUCAAAUCAUCAACAUACAAGCUUACAAUUAGAUUUUACCUCCAGCACUUGUCUUAACAAACAAAGUGUUUCAUGAGUGCAUUUUUCAAAGCCUUCCUUCAAAAAGUAUGAUUCUAUGCGACUGUACCAAGCUCGUGGAGCUUGCUUCAGUCCAUAAAGUGCUUUCUUUAACUUGUACACCUUAUGCUCAUUGUCCUUGAUUUCAUAUCCGCAAGGCUGUUCCACAAAAACUUCUUCAUUUAGUACACCGUGCAAGAAUGCGACUUACAUCCAACUGAUAAACGUCCAUCCCUUUGAGCAGCAAGUGCAAGCACUAGUCGAAUGGUAUCUAAUCUGCCACCGGUGCAAAGACUUCAUAUAAUCAACUCCAUAUUUUUGAGCAUAUCUUUUGCUACAAGUCGCGCUUUGGUUUUGUCAUUUCUCCAUUCUCAUUAAGCUUUGUUUUGAAUAUCCAUUUCACUCCAAUUUUCUUUCCACAACCGUAAAUUUGUCAACUCCCAAGUGUCAUUCUUCUCUAUUGACUCUAAUUCCAAAUUCAUGGCAUUUCUCCAUUUUUCACUCUUCACAGCUUCUUCAAAUGAAAUUGGAUCAGCACCUGCAAACAUGGCCAUGUUAGUCAUGUUUCUUCUUCUUCUGACAGUCCUUCUCCACUUUCAUAAUCCCUCAUCCAUGCAGGUCGUCGUAUUAUUCUUCUAUUUGAAUCUUGCCGACUCUCUUCAAUUGAAUCGUUGAAUCAGAGUGAUCAAGUUCUCCUUGUAUCUCUUCAUUGAUGCUUGUAUCAUUUCUGCACUUGCAGCAGAGGCAGACUCUCUUGUUCAUCUUCCCAAUCUAAAUUUUCUUUGAUGUUUUCCUCAUGUCUUUUAUUCCAGUCCCAACUUUUAUCUUCUUCAAAGACAACAUCUCUACUAACAAUAAUCUUAUGAGAAAUUGGAUCGUACAACCUGUAUGCCUUUGAUUCUUCACUUACUCCAAGUAAAACACAACUAGUACUUUUUCUGUCUAGCUUUGUUCUUUUCUGUCGGUACGUGAACAUGCGAAACACAUCCAAAGACUCUAAAGUACUCAACUGAUGGCUUUACAUCACUCCAAGCUCUUCAGGAUCUUGUUUUUCACAGCAACUGUUGGACAUCGGUUCAGCACAUGAACAGUCCAAUUUACAGCCUCGGGCCAAAAAUUCCUUGGAACUUUGUUCUCAUACAGCAUGCAACGAACCAUGUUCAUAAUGGUUUUGUUUUCCUCUCGGCUACACCAUUUUGUUGUGGUGUAUAUGCAGCCGUCAGUUGCCUAUUUAUACCAUUCUCCUUGCAAAAGUAUUAAAUGCUUGUGAUGUAAAUUCACCACCCCUGUCAGUACGCAAGCAUUUGAUGAAUAUACUUUUUCUUUCUCCACAUGAUUUUUAAAGCUUCUAAAAGUGUCAAAGCUUCAGAUUUUUCUACUAAAAAAUAUACCCAUGUUUUACGAAUAUAGUCAUCAAUGAAAGUAAUUAAGUACCUCUUUUUGCUAUUUGAGGCUGGUGUAAUAGGCCCGCAUAUGUCGCAUGUACAACUGUAGGAUUUGAGAUGCUCUCCACGUGCUCACUUUAGGAAAUGGAUCCCUCUGUGCUUUCCCGCAAGGCAGUCUUUACAAAUUUUAGAGGGAGUUUUGAUUUGUGCAGACCAUUCACCAUCCUUUUGCUCAAGUAUCCUUAAGCCUUUAAAGCCUAAUGUCCAAAUCUACAAUGCCAUAACUGAGUUGAGUCUUCAGUAAUUGUGUUGAAACAAGCCGAUACAUUUGACUGAGGCUUAACCGGCAAAAUGAACAUUCUGUUUGAGGACAUUGUUGUUUCCAUGAUCAAGCCCUUCUCCUUAUGAUAGAUCUUGCAUUUUCCAUGUUGAAAAAUGAUAGUUAACCUUUUCUUGUAGCUGACCAAUGCUCAACAAGUUGUUCUUUAGCUCAGGUACAUAGACACACUAGUAAUGAUAUGUGAGAUUCCAUUCAAUUGAAAUCUUACAUUUCCUUUUCCUUUCACAGCCAUGCUGGAAUUAUUUCCAACUUCACAGUUUCACUAAAAUUUCAUCCAAAUCAGAGAAUACUUCCUUCUUACCACACAUAUGUACUACACCCUGAGUCAAUGAACCAUGCUUCUUCCUUAUCUGAUCUUUAUUUUCCAUGGAUGCCAUCAAAAGCAUUUCAUCUUGAAAUUCUGCAUAAUUGACUUCACUCUCCUUGCUUGGACAUUCAUAUUGAAAAUGUCCAAGUUUAUGGCAGUAAUAACACCACAGUGGACUUGUCAAAAUUUGGCAUGCCCCUUCCUCCUCCUCGUCCGCGAAAUCCUCCACGACCACGACCGCGACCUCUUGUUUCUGCUUUCAUAGGUUACUUUCAAGGCUUGCUCUUCAAAUAAUAGGAACAUUCAUGCGUUGCUCAUGCACCAGCAAGCUACUUUGUAGUUGGCGCGACUGAUAAGGCGUCAAUGUCAUUUGACUCCUCAAUGGAGCAAACCACAUAGUUGAAUUUCGGAGUCAUGGACCGCAAAUUUUUUCAAUAACAACAACAUCUCCCAUAGUCUCUCCAUGAGUUCUCAUCUUGUUGGCUAUGGUGAGGGUUCGAGAAAAGUACUCGUUCACCGAUUCUCCAGCUUUCAUCUGCAAGAUUUCAAAUUCCCUUCGAAGUGCUUGUAGUUGUGCUCGUUUAACCCUUGCCGUUCCUUGAUACUUCUGCUUCAUUGAGUCCCAAAUGUUCUUUGACGUUUCUUUCUUCAAGAUUGUCUCCAAGAUAGAUCUAUCAAUUGCUUGAAAAAGAUAAUUUUUACUUUAAAUCCUUGAGUUUCUGAUCUUCAACAGUUUUUCUUUGUGCCUCAGUUGAUUCUGUACCCCAACUGCUGUAGGAUCCCAUUUUCAACCAAGCUCCAGUUUCUUGGAUCGAAGGAAGUUCUCCAUGAGCAUUGCCAAUGUCAUAGUGACCAUCAAACUUUGGAAUUGAUGGUUGAACAAAACUGCUGUUUUCUGUCUGCUUGAAAAGACUGCCGCGUUUCAAGUAUUGAUCAGGCCCCUUCUAGAGGAGCUCUGAUACCAAUUGUGAAGGAUACGUGUUUACAGAAUAAUAGGGAGAAUAUCUCUUAUUGAAUUGAACAAAGAAAUGGCUCUUAAAUAGCCUUACAGAAACUGAAUCAGAGAAAAAAUAGUCCACUCUAACAAACACUAAAAAUGGUGAUAGUGGCAAGAGAAUUAAGGGGUUAAAGAGCAACAACUCACUAACAGCACUAACAUUGCUUAUUCUAACUGACAGUAAAUUAACGUUAAAUAAAAAACAAUUUUAACAAACAUCAGUAAUCAUAGGAGAAAUAAAAUUUUACACCAAGUUGUUAGGAAACAUGCUACUUCAAUUGUUCUACAUCCAUAGGUAAUUACUUAUAGACGCAUUUAACCAAAAUUGAUAUUAACCAUAUAUCAAUAUAACUUCCAAACAAGAGGUAGAACGAGACUUAUCUUUAUGUAAGUGUCAUCUCCUUAACUCACUUUAUUUUCAAGGUACAACUAUAUUGCUAUAUAAUAAUCAACAUAGGAAUUGGGCUUAUGUUUGAGAAACCACCAAUUUUAAUGAUUGUUUUCAUGGAGAAUCAACAAUUGUGUUGGUUGGUCUUCUUUGUAAACUCACCAAAGAGUAAUAAGCUCCACUUGGUCCCUUAGCCAACAAAGAUGAAUGUGUUCCUUUCUCAACGACACUUCCCUUAUCCAAAACAGCAAUCAAAUCACAGUUUUGUAUAGUACUCAACCUAUGAGCCACAACCACACUUGUCCUUCCAACCAUAACCCUUUCUAAAGCAUCUUGCACUAAUUUCUCUGAUUGACUAUCAAGUGCACUUGUUGCUUCAUCCAAAAGUAAUACCUCUGGAUUCUUCAAUAUAGCUCUAGCUAUCGCAAUUCUUUGUUUUUGACCACCACUAAGUUGAACACCUCUGUCACCACACAAUGUCUCAUAACCAUCUUUUAAGCUUGAUAUGAAAUCAUGAGCAUUUGCAGCCUUUGCAGCCUCAAUGAUCUCACUCUCAUCAACUUUAUCAUCAUAUGCUCCAUAUGCUAUAUUGUCCCUUAUGGUACCACCAAACAAUGUUGGUUCUUGACUCACAAGUGCAAUGUGUUUCCUUAAUGAUCUUAGAUUAUAAGACUUUAUGUCUCUACCAUCUAUUGUCACCGUCCCUUCAAAAGGAUCGUAGAAUCUCUCAAUUAGUCCUAUGAUUGUUGAUUUUCCUGAACCACUUUCCCCGACCAAAGCUGUUGAUUUUCCAGCGUCAAUUUUAAUCGAGAAUCCUUGAAAGAUCAUCACAUUAGGUCUAGCCGGAUAUGCAAAAUGCACAUCAUGAAAUUCAAUUUUUCCUAUUAAUUUUUCAACCUUGUAACCUUCUAAAUCAUUUGGCUCAAUUUUUGUAUACCUAUCGAGGACGGCGAAAACCGAUCCAACGGCACUAGAACCUUUAGCAAAAUCAUUGGUCAUACUACUAGCAGCAUCAGCAAUAACUUUUCCAGUGCUUAUCCAAAUCAUAGUGGUCUCAAAAAAUGCAUUCUUUGUUAUAUAUCCUUGCGACACAAGUUUUCCUCCAUACCAAAAGUUUAAGGCUCUAGUGCAAAAAAUGAGGCUUUGUGAACAUGCAAGCCCAAUACCUGCAAACCAUGAUUGUCUAAUAUUUUCAUGACUCGGGCCUUGUUGGGAUUUUUCAAGCAUUUUAAGGAUUCUAUUUUGUGAUGAAAAAGAUGUGAUGGUUCUUAGAUUUGAAACAGCUUCAGCGGCUAUUUUGCUACUUUCAUCUUGGGCCUUAAUGGCUUUGCUUGACAUGUUAUUAAGAAGGACACGCCUUAUGUAGAAACAAAUUAUGGUAAUUGGCUGAACUGCUAUCAUAACAAUGGAUAGUCUCCAAGUAAUGAUUAGGCCCAUUGCGAAUGUUACUGCCACUGCUGAUAUAGUUUGUAUUAUUACUGACAAUCUAUCCCCCACCAACGACCUUACCUGUAUUAUUAAUUUGAAAAGAAAAUUAAAACAUUUUAUGUUUGUCUUCUUAAUAUAUAGUUUUUAUAUCAUAUAUUAUAUAUCUCUAACAUAACAUGCAAUUUUUUAAAAAUGAUUGAGAACAUACCACAUUGGCUUCUUUGGCAAGUCUAGAGCAAACAGCACCUGUAGAAUUUUGAUCCUCAUCAAACCAACCAACUUCAAAAGUGAGUAUCUUGGAAAGCAUUCUUUCUCUAACCCUUUUAGUCAAGUACUCUCCCAUGUAAGCAAAGCUAUAAUGUUGAAGCACAUUAAAAAGCAUUGUGGACAAAGCCAACCCUAGAAAACAAAAUGCAUAGAUCCUAAUUUGUUUCUUGAUCUCAUCAUGGUCCUCCAGAAAAUAAACUGAUGCAAGUGACCCUGUUGCAAAUGCUGACACAGGUUGAACCGCACUAAAUAAAACCGCGUUCAAACACCCCAAACAGACUUGCUUCCAUUCUGGAAGAUUCAUUGCCAACAACCUUCGAAACGAAGGAACCUCUACCUUCUCCUUCUUCUUCCUCUCCUUCUCGUCCUCAUUAUUAUUAUUAUUAUUAUUAUUAUUAUUAUUAUUAUCAUUAUUAUUAUUAUUAUUAUUAUCAUCAAAUACCACAACAUUAUUAGCGAUAUCUCCAACGACAUUUUUAUCAUUAACAAUAUCACCACCACGACCACGUGUCAUUGAGUCGAAAGAGCUAGAGUGAGUCGCGAGUCUAUAACUACUCGUGUUUUGCAUGUGAUCUAUAUUAGUGGUAGGUGGAGUAUCGUCGUUUUGGUCAUUUUUGGUUUGUUGGAGACGUAUGAGGGAAGUAUAAAGAGAACUGUCAUUUUGAAUGAGGCUCCCGUGAGAUCCCGUUUCCACGAUCUUACCAUUUUGAACGAAUGCAAUGAUGUCUGCAUUUUGGAUGGUGGAUAAGCGGUGAGCGAUGAUGAUGGUGGUGCGUCCAACCACGGCUUUGUCUAGAGCUUGUUGGACAACUCGCUCGGAUUCAGAAUCGAGUGCACUUGUUGCUUCGUCUAGCAAUAGAAUUCUUGGCUUUUUUAUUAUAGCUCUUGCAAUGGCAAUCCUUUGCUUUUGUCCUCCUGACAUUUGUAUUCCCCUCUCCCCAACCUGUUGUAGUAAAGCAUACAAUUAACAUCUUAGGUUUAACCUAACAUUAUUCUCUAAUUUAGUGGAAUUAGUUUGAUUCAUGCAAUUUGAAAGAGAAAGAUAAGGUGCUUCAUGUAGGUGGACCACCAUAUUAGUGGGUUUUUUAUUUUAUGAAAUUAUUGUAACAGAUUUCACAUGAUUAGAAUAACAUUAAAACAGAAUUAUUCAUGUUCUCCAUGAUAUCUUUGUCAUUGAUUCUGUUAGCAAUAUCUAAUAUACUAUAAGGAAUAUAAACUAUUGUUUAAGUAAUUGAAAACAAAUUUUAAGUGAGAAUGUCUAAAAACCAUUUUGGGUUAUUAUAUAGUGGCAUAUUAUCAUUAUUGGAGUAGACACAUGAUUGAACAACACGUUUCUACUUGUUUGUGCUGAUUAAGUUGCUUAAAGUGGAUGAAUAUGAUAUGAAGCACUUACCAAAAGUUGAACAUUACGUGAUAAUAUUUGAAUAAUCAUGUUAUCUAUAGCCAUCUUGUUUGUGUUGAUUAAGUUGGUUAAAGUGGAGAAAUGAUAGCACUUACCAAAAGUUGAACAUUAAUAAUAUUUGAAUAAUCAUGUUAUCUAUAUGCAUAAUAUUUUUGGCUUAAAUGCAUUUAUUCCCCCUAUUUACUUGAAAUUAGAUUUUAGUCCCCUGAUAGUAGUAAGUCGUAAACUUUAGUUCUUCAAGUUUCACAAAUUUUAGAGUUUUUCUUCACAACCUAAUUUUGGACUUACUUUUCAUGACAUGUCGUUUUUUUUAGUGAGAAAUUAUACUUGAUGAUGUUAUAUUGCUAAUUUGGACUGAAAAAUCCUAUUACAACCUUUUUAUUUUACAGUUUGAUUGAUCAAAUAUAAACUAAUUAUUUUGAAAUUAAUUGGUUUCUGAUCCAAAUCAGUAGUGUUAGAUGAUCAAAUACACUUCCACACUAGGUUGUUGAUAGCGAGCUAUAGCGGCAUAGUGCAGCAGUACAGGACCUCGGCACCACACUUUUGGGCUGCUAACCACUAUCCGCGAUAGUGGAAAUAGCAGUCGCUAUUUGUGGAGUCAUGGCGGCACAAUAGCAGCACAAUAGUGAUUUUGUAGCGGUUUAUAGACCGCCAUUGUGAAGAUGAGGGCAAUAUUGUAAGUUUGAGUAUUUUUAACAGCAAAUUGGUAUUUUUUUCCCUUUUAUUUGCCUAAUAUAAAAGCUGUUGGUGGUGUUUUAGGUCAUUUCCAGUUCUCUCUUCACUCAAAUCAGCAAGCAGUGGUUCUUUUGACUUAAAAGUUUAUAGUUCUCUCUCUUCACAAAUUUUCUUCUUCCACAUUCUUCUCAAAUCAGGAAGCAUCCAUCUUUCUCAUCCAUUUUUCUUCUCAAAUCAGAAAGCAUCCAUCUUUCUCAUCUUUUGACAUAGGGUGACAAUAUUUGUUUAUGUUUGUUUACAUUUAGAAUAUUGUUUAGUCAUUUUGAGUUCAUUUAUAAUUUGAUUUUGACGGGAAUUUUAUUGUGGUGCUGUUGGAAUGUAUGCAUGUUGUUACUUCUGUUAUUAAGGCAUUAUAUAUGUUGUUGGAAUUUAUUUUAAAUAUUUAUAUAUUAAUGUUAAAUAUUUACCUUAGUUUUUA